GACGAACGCUGGCGGCGUGCCUAAUACAUGCAAGUAGAACGCAGUUGCGAACGGGUGAGUAACGCGUAGGUAACUGCCUCAUAGCGGGGGAUAACUAUUGGAAACGAUAGCUAAUACCGCAUACUGAGAGAUGGACCUGCGUUGUAUUAGCUAGUUGGUGAGGUAAAGGCUCACCAAGGCGACGAUACAUAGCCGACCUGAGAGGGUGAUCGGCCACACUGGGAAUGAGACACGUCCCAGACUCCUACGGGAGGCAGCAGUAAGGAAUCUUCGGCAAUGGACGGAAGUCUGACCACGCAACGCAGCGAGAGUGAAGAAGGUUUUCGGAUCGUAAAGCUCUGUUGUUAGAGAAGCGGUAGCUAACCAGAAAGGGACGGCUAACUACGUGCCAGCCUCAGCAGUAAUUC
rnacentral:rRNA from 1 species